rnacentral:rRNA from 1 species
GAUGAACGCUGGCGGCGUGCUUAACACAUGCAAGUCGAACGGAAAGACCCUGCUUUUGUGGGGUUCUCGAUUGGCGAACGCGUGAGUAACACGUGAGUAACCUGCACUUGUCUUUGGGAUAACUUCAGGAAACUGGGGCUAAUACCGGAUAGGAUCUCCUGCUGCAUGUUGUUCGUUGGAGAGUUUCGGCGGUUGGGGAUGGACUCGCUGCUUAUCCGCUUGUUUGUGGGGUAGUUGCGUACCAAGGCUGUGACGGGUAGCCGGCCUGAGAGGGUGGACGGGCACAAUGGGACUGAGAGAGGGCCCAGAAUGCUACGGGAGGCAGUGGUGGGGAGCAUUGCAGAAUGGGCGGAAGCGUGAUGCAGAAACGCUGCGUGCGGGAUGAUGGCUUUCGGGUUGUAAACAGAUUUCGCAUGUGACGAAGCGUGAGUGACGGUACUGGGUAAAGAAGCACCGGCUAACUACGUG